rnacentral:rRNA from 1 species
CACGUAGGCGGCUUUGUAAGUCGGAUGUGAAAGCCCCGGGCUUAACCUGGGAAUUGCAUCCGAGACUGCAUGGCUAGAGUAAAGGAGAGGGAAGUGGAAUUUCCGGUGUAGCGGUGAAAUGCGUAGAUAUCGGAAGGAACACCAGUGGCGAAGGCGACUUCCUGGCCUAUUACUGACGCUGAGGUGCGAAAGCGUGGGGAGCAAACA